rnacentral:lncRNA from 1 species
GGGCGGUUGGGGGCUACACCCCACGGGUGCCCAGUCAUGUUGGUCCUUUUCGCACAGUUCCGACUGCUUUGCGGCUUAUCCGUCCCUCUUAAUGGUUGCUAAAGUACUCGGGUAGCACACGCCUUAAUCUGUGAAACCUUGACUCAUCCUGCGUGUCUUCUAUAUGCGAGCAUCGGGUCAGCCCCAACACUAUAGCCUGAGAUAAGCUGUCCUCUCCAUGAGCAAUGGUCAGCAAAGCUAGGUGCUUAAAUAUAACAGCC